UUUCAAGACCGGGGCUAUCAACCACUCAGCCAUCUCUCC
rnacentral:tRNA from 2 species